rnacentral:lncRNA from 1 species
GGGGGACCCGGGACUUCCAAGUGUUCUGGCCAUGGAGGCAUGGUAUCCGUAACAUCCCCCAAAGGAGCUAAAGAAGAAAUCCACAAUUUACCAUGAGCAUUUCUCGUCUGAAGAUUGCCAAGCGAUUCCUCCAGGACAUUCCUCAAGAUCAAUUUCUGUUCAUCCACCUUGUCCUGGGAGGGACAUCAAUGGGUUUCCAUGUCCUUUGGCUUCUGGUUGAGUUCACUCAGUGGAGAACCCUGGCAAGAGGCAGGAAAAGGGGAGGAAGCAGCCUGACCGGUUUGAAUUUCACCUUCUGUUCACCUUGGAUGAGAGCAGUAAUCAUCACGAUCCCAGGGAACAGCCAAAGGAAGAGAAAAGGCAAAAGAUUUGGACAAGACUCAUGAAGACUAACAGCUCUUGGAUAAUUGAGAGAAGGCAGCUGCGUGAACAGUUUUGAUGCAAUCAUGAAGGCAGGGCCCAGUGCCUGUGGCAUCUGCCUUUUUCUGGAACCAAUCCAUAUUUCCUUGUGGUUUUCUAAGGUGCAGAGAGGGCACAUUGGGAACUUUGCUUGGGGUCUUUUUCACAUCUUAGAGGGAAGGUCCCUCAACAUCUGCAUUGGCGGAGUGUGAUCCUCAUGUCCCUCUGAAUGAUCUGGACUUGAGGUAACCAGCCCCUUCCAGGAAGCUGUCCCAUGAGUGAAGCCUCAGCAGCAGCCUCUGUCAGUCCCUCCCCCACAGAACCUUUGGCUUCCAUUUGACCAGCCUUGACAUCCAGUGUCCAAACACCGAUAAAAUUGAUUCCACUAAGCGUGGGAAAGUCCUGGAGCAUCGAUUGUUUCCUCCUCUGCACCCCCGAUACCCUGGCAUUAGCACUCUCCCAGAAUGUACCUUGCUUGUUUGAUUGGAGGAGGUCAAAGCCCUGAUGAAGAAUGAGUGGAAUUCCACAGGAUUGGAGCAGUCUUGAUAAAUGACAGCAGGGGAUGGUGUGGGGAGGGGAAAGGAUCAGAGGAAGUGUGGAUAAAUGAAUGGCUUAAAAAAUAAUCCACCUUUGCCUCCCCCUUUUCUACCAGUCUGUCUAGUGCUUCAGGGUGAAAAAAAAAAAAAAAAGCUUGCCUUUCUAAACAUUUGGAGUUUCAGAAAUGAUCUAUAGAGCAUGUUUAGUUUUUCAAGUUAAAAAUAUUAAAAGAAAAAAAAUGUUUGAGGGCUUUACUGCUUUCCCGCAAAGAGCUAGAGCCACCCAAGCAGGAUUGACUGUCAUUGGUUUGAGGUUUCUGUUUGCUUUGAGGCUAUUUUUUCCUUAGUGCUAUAAACUAGAUCAGUCCAUUUUUAGCUGAUAACCCUUUCCAAUUUCGCUGUGAAAUGAGGGGCUGGUUGGGUGGUUUUUUUUUAUGUUCUUUCCAGCGUUGACUUUUAUGGUCUUUGAUUCCAAGGUACCUCGUCGACUCUGAAGACGAGAGAUGGGUAGGUUCUAACUCCAGAUGAGCCACUGCAAGAUGGUACCAGGAUGAGAUAGAGAGUCUCUGUACUAUCUUUUAUAUGUUCUCAAACCCAGCCAGGGAUCAGAGUGACAAUAUAACAUGGGGAAUCAUAGAGAUGUUUAUGGUAAUUCUGCUAUGAGUCAACUGAGAUGUCCCUUAUGGAGAUAACUUCCCAUACUAUAGGCAGUUGGACAAAGAUGUAAAUGCCUUGUUUACAAAUGCUACCCAGAUCUCCUAAUUAGGACCACACAUGCGGAGAACCCAACAGCUUUUGGACUUAUCGGCCAAUGGUCUUCUUGGGAAGGUCUCUCCUAGUCAUGGGAAUUGUCUUUUUAUUGUUCAAGCUUUUGCAUAGACCUGGAAGAGGCAUCCAUUGCUGUUACCCCUGAGUUUAUAAUCAUGCUGCAAGUCCAGUGGGGAACUUUGGCACAAAGCAUUGAAUGAGAUGGGACUGCACUUAUGUAGCCUGCAUUUCUUGAGAAUAAAGAUUUCUGUUCAUUUAGUGCAGUGGUUAUCAUCUGGGGGAAAACCAGUGAGUAGAGGCCAGGGAUGCCACUAAAAUCCCUACACUGUGCAGGAAAGCUGUCAGCCCUUUGUCCCACAAGAGAUUAACUGGUUCCAAAAGUCAGUAGUGCUGUGGUUGAGAAACCCUGUUUACCACCUGUAGGUUCCAGAGAGCUCGGAUGGUGGUGGUCAUUGUGCUAAGUUUCAAAUUCAGUAUUUAGGUUUGGUUUUUAGCUUAUAGGCAACAAAUUGGCUGACUAUGGGGUGAAAAGGAAGCACCUCCUUUAUCAAGAUUGGCUUCAAAAGAUGUCUGCCUCCCCUUCUGGUGGGUCCUGUGUCCAUUCACAGUGUGAGAAAUGGAAAGGAGGUCACUAAGAGACUUGCAAUGGAUGUAAUAACUGGAUGCAGAAACUCUGGAUCUGAAGGGAAUGUUCAUGACUAUUUCAUCCCUCCUGCUGCCUUGGAGAACCAAACGCAGGAGCCACCCAAGGUGAAAACCAUCCAUUUCUUGGAGAAGUGCCACGGUGGGGUUGCAAGUCCCAGGAUCAAGUUUUCGAUGUGUCUCUUUUUCCCGUAAAGUGGCUGAAAUCUGAAGCUGAAUCUGCAAGUGUCAUGGAGUCAUUGAAUCUCACAGUCUCAACUGAUAAAAGUUAUUAAAGGUCGUC